GAGUUUGAUCGUGGCUCAGAGUGAACGCUGGCGGCAGGCCUAACACAUGCAAGUCGAACGGACCCUUCGGGGUUAGUGGCAGACGGGUGAGUAACACGUGGGAACGUGCCCUUUGGUUCGGAACAACUCAGGGAAACUUGAGCUAAUACCGGAUGUGCCCUUCGGGGGAAAGAUUUAUCGCCAUUGGAGCGGCCCGCGUCUGAUUAGGUAGUUGGUGGGGUAAAGGCCCACCAAGGCGACGAUCCGUAGCUGGUUUGAGAGAACGACCAGCCACACUGGGACUGAGACACGGCCCAGACUCCUACGGGAGGCAGCAGUGGGGAAUUUUGGACAAUGGGGGCAACCCUGAUCCAGCAAUGCCGCGUGCAGGAAGAAGGCCUUC
rnacentral:rRNA from 1 species